GAUGAACGCUGGCGGCGUGCCUAAUACAUGCAAGUCGAGCGAACGGACGAGAAGCUUGCUUCUCUGAUGUUAGCGGCGGACGGGUGAGUAACACGUGGAUAACCUACCUAUAAGACUGGGAUAACUUCGGGAAACCGUAGCUAAUACCGGAUAAUAUUUUGAACCGCAUGGUUCAAAAGUGAAAGACGGUCUUGCUGUCACUUAUAGAUGGAUCCGGGCUGCAUUAGCUAGUUGGUAAGGUAACGGCUUACCAAGGCAACGAUGCAUAGCCGACCUGAGAGGGUGAUCGGCCACACUGGAACUGAGACACGGUCCAGACUCCUACGGGAGGCAGCAGUAGGGAAUCUUCCGCAAUGGGCGAAAGCCUGACGGAGCAACGCCGCGUGAGUGAUGAAGGUCUUCGGAUCGUAAAACUCUGUUAUUAGGGAAGAACAUAUGUGUAAGUAACUGUGCACAUAUUGACGGUACCUAAUCAGAAAGCCACGGCUAACUACGUG
rnacentral:rRNA from 1 species